UCCAGAGAUGGAUUGGUGCCUUCGGGAACUCAGACACAGGUGCUGCAUGGNUGUCGUCAGCUCGUGUCGUGAGAUGUUGGGUUAAGUCCCGUAACGAGCGCAACCCUUGUCCUUAGUUACCAGCACGUUAUGGUGGGAACUCUAAGGAGACUGCCGGUGACAAACCGGAGGAAGGUGGGGAUGACGUCAAGUCAUCAUGGCCCUUACGGCCAGGGCUACACACGUGCUACAAUGGUCGGUACAAAGGGUUGCCAAGCCGCGAGGUGGAGCUAAUCCCAUAAAACCGAUCGUAGUCCGGAUCGCAGUCUGCAACUCGACUGCGUGAAGUCGGAAUCGCUANUAAUCGUGAAUCAGAAUGUCACGGUGAAUACGUUCCCGGGUCUUGUNCACA
rnacentral:rRNA from 1 species